rnacentral:rRNA from 1 species
AUUGAACGCUGGCGGCAGGCCUAACACAUGCAAGUCGAACGGUAACAGGAAACAGCUUGCUGUUUCGCUGACGAGUGGCGGACGGGUGAGUAAUGUCUGGGAAACUGCCUGAUGGAGGGGGAUAACUACUGGAAACGGUAGCUAAUACCGCAUAACGUCGCAAGACCAAAGAGGGGGACCUUCGGGCCUCUUGCCAUCGGAUGUGCCCAGAUGGGAUUAGCUAGUAGGUGGGGUAACGGCUCACCUAGGCGACGAUCCCUAGCUGGUCUGAGAGGAUGACCAGCCACACUGGAACUGAGACACGGUCCAGACUCCUACGGGAGGCAGCAGUGGGGAAUAUUGCACAAAGGGCGCAAGCCUGAUGCAGCCAUGCCGCGUAUAUGAAGAAGGCCUUCGGGUUGUAAAGUACUUUCAGCGGGGAGGAAGGGAGUAAAGUUAAUACCUUUGCUCAUUGACGUUACCCGCAGAAGAAGCACCGGCUAACUCCGUG